rnacentral:rRNA from 1 species
UACGUAGGGUGCGAGCGUUUCCGGAAUUAUUGGGCGUAAAGCGUCCGCAGGUGGCACUUCAAGUCUGCUGUCAAAGACCGGGGCUUAACCCUGGAAAGGCAGUGGAAACUGAAGCGCUAGAGUGUGGCAGGGGUAGAGGGAAUUCCCGGUGUAGCGGUGAAAUGCGUAGAGAUCGGGAAGAACAUCGGUGGCGAAAGCGCUCUACUGGGCCAUAACUGACACUCAGGGACGAAAGCUAGGGGAGCGAAUGGG